GGUAGCAAUAAAGUUUAUGGCUCAUGUCAGCUGAAUGGAGGCAGCACCUCAGCUUUCUACAAAUGAGUUCAAACCCCAUUGAAUCAGCUCCCUUUGGUCUGAGGCGCUUUGUAGGCCAUUGAAUUUGGCUCCAGGUUUAUCCGAGCCUGCUUCAUCGUCACCCCCAUUCAUGAUUGAGAAACAAAAAACAGAGUCUUUUUACAAUGUCUUGAUCUCAUGGGUCACAGACGAUUCUGGCAGCACUAUUGCUUCAUCUCAACUCUCAGAAGUCCCAGCGGGCGCAUCAGAAAACCAUAUGCAGCUAUUCUACUUGGACAUAAAUCAAGCAAAGGAGUUUCCUUUCGACUGCUCCCGACUUCUGUAGGAUAAAGCUUUCUGCAAGUUUCUGCAUCUUCUUUGGAUUCCUACCUGGAGCCUCUUUUUCCUGAGUCAGAGCAGGCAGAGAGUUCAAGGCACGUUUGAUAAGUCCGGGUCUCUCAAAGAGGAUUUUCAGCCCUCUGAUGAUCCCCUCAAGUCACCCUGCUAAGGACAGGCCUGUUUCACAGCCCUGUUUGUGCAAAGAACAAAGAGUCUCCGGCUCUCAAACACCAUCUGCAGAAAGAACGUGGCUGCUUGAGUCCUGCAUAUAAUAAGGCUGGAACAGUCUUUCCUGGCGGCAGAUUUGCAUAGCAUGGUAGGUGUGCAGAAGGAGGUGAGGGAACCGCAAGGUGAAGUAACGUACAAAGUCAUCUGGGACAGAACCAAGGGUCUCCUGCACCUCGGGCGGAAGUUCUCUAUAGUGGUGUUUCUGGAAGAAAAGAGGGCUGAAUCACAAGGAGAUCUCUUACGGAGCCGCCUUUAUAGGAUCGGAAUCUUCGAAGAUCUGCAAGAAGUAAAACUGGAAUGAUUAAAAAAACUCAAGCCAAGCAGCCCAUUUCUUUCCUCUUGGUAGCUGGAUACCACAAA